rnacentral:RNase_P_RNA from 1 species
GCGAGUCGGUGGACGAGCCACGGGGUACUCCUGGGGAAGUUCCUCCCUCACGCAGGAUGCAUGACGCUGAGAGGCGUAGCUGGAGACAGCUGGCGACGGAACAGAAACGACACCCGUCCCGCCAAACGCCGUGAUGGAGCAAUCCUGAGGUCGGCGGAAACGGGAUGAAACGGCCGACCCAUGCAGAGCAAGGCCGAACAUGGUCGAUGAUGCGCCUGCGGGAGACCAAGGUGGGCCGCUAAGCUGAAUCUCGUCUUGAACAGAAGGAGGACUAUGACCGAGAACGC